UUAUCAUAACCCCUUUAAAUAAACUAAAAGUUCAUCUAUUAUUUGACACUUUUAAAGACUUGAUUUAAAAAUCAAAAUUUAUGUAUUUACACGUCAAUAAUAACACUAAAAAUAGCAUAACUUUUGAAACUUUAAUUUCACACAGCUUCAUUUGCCAUCUUCGAUGCAGUAACUACCUAGCGGGCCCACGGUUCAAGUAGAUCUCCUUUCCUUAUCAAGUGAUAGUGUUUAACAUGCGAUCCAAAUUAACGCAUUUAUCUCCUCCCCCUUCCCCUUCUCUCUCUCUCUUCAAAGACAGGUUCAUAUGCACAGAUCUAUGAUAUGCAUGCAUGCAUCGAAACAGAUGAGCGCCGCCACAAGCAUAACUUGUAUAAUCCUGCCUCCGGCCAUGGCCCACGGCGGGGGAGGCAGCACGCCACUUAUGUAAAGAUACCUGUCCCAUCGUCGUUCCUAGACUGCUAUGGCUUCCCAUUCCAUUGAUUCUGUCACAAAGAUAAUUAAGGGUUAAGCCAUCAUGAAACACUGACAUACGGUAACUGAGGAGCCGAGAGAACUCAAAAUAUACACCACCAAAAGUGUCAUCGCGAAAUGUGACUACACCAUCAUACAAAAACAAAACAAGCAAUGCCAUUCAUCAAAUAAUCAUAAAUACUUGGACAGCUCCUGCAUUAACAGUUUCUGUUUGGGAAGAAAAAGAUUAGUACACAACAAGUACAGUGGUGGGGAAUCAUUCAUCUCCAGUUCUACUUGAGCUUUCGGUGCCCGACUGCUUUACAAAUUGUCCGCGAACACGAGGCCUCUGUUCAGCCAACUUCUUUCUGUUCUGAUACCGUACCUGAGCCAAAACCACACUGUAAGAGGACAUGUAUGGAAUAUAACUAACAAUAAUCGUACUGUUUACAGAAUUUUUUGGUUCAAAGUUACUGUUCUUAUAUUCAACACUA